rnacentral:rRNA from 1 species
GAUGAACGCUAGCUACAGGCUUAACACAUGCAAGUCGAGGGGCAGCACAUGAAGUAGCAAUACGGAUGGUGGCGACCGGCGCACGGGUGAGUAACGCGUAUGCAAUCUACCUACAACAAGGGAAAUAGCUCGUUAGAAAGACGGACUAAUACCCUAUAAAACAGGGGUCCCGCAGUGGGAAUAUUUGUUAAAGAUUUAUCGGUUGUAGAUGAGCAUGCGUUCCAUUAGCUUGUUGGUGAGGUAACGGCCCACCAAGGCAACGAUGGAUAGGGGAACUGAGAGGUUUAUCCCCCACACUGGUACUGAGACACGGACCAGACUCCUACGGGAGGCAGCAGUGAGGAAUAUUGGUCAAUGGAGGCAACUCUGAACCAGCCACGUCGCGUGAAGGAAGACGGCCCUACGGGUUGUAAACUUCUUUUGUAAGGGAAUAAAGGUGCAGUACGUGUACUGUUUUGCAUGUACCUUACGAAUAAGGAUCGGCUAACUCCGUG